AGAAAGCGUAAUAGCUCACUGGUCUAGUGAUUUUGCGCGGAAAAUAUAACGGGGCUAAAGUAAGUACCGAAGCUGUAGACUUGCGCACAACUUAGAUUAUUUAAGUUUAGAAUAUGAGAAACUAAGUUAUAUGUUUAGUUAUAUUUUUACUGAUUUUUAUAGAGUAAAGAUAGAAAUAAAACUUAGUAAAAUCAGUAAAAAUAUUCUUAGACUAAAGUUAAGUAGUUUAAGUUGUGUGCAAGUGGUAGGAGAGCGUUCUAUUUGCGCCGAAGGUAUACCGGUAAGGAGUGCUGGAGCGAAUAGAAGUGAGCAUGCAGGCAUGAGUAGCGAUAAUUAAUGUGAGAAUCAUUAACGCCGUAAACCCAAGGUUUCCUACGCGAUGCUCGUCAUCGUAGGGUUAGUCGGGUCCUAAGUCGAGUCCGAAAGGGGUAGACGAUGGCAAAUUGGUUAAUAUUCCAAUACCAACAUUAGUGUGCGAUGGAAGGACGCUUAGGGCUAAGGGGGCUAGCGGAUGGAAGUGCUAGUCUAAGGUCGUAGGAGGUUAUACAGGCAAAUCCGUAUAACAAUACUCCGAGAACUGAAAGGCUUUUUGAAGUCUUCGGAUGGAUAGAAGAACCCCUGAUGCCGUCGAGCCAAGAAAAGUUUCUAAGUUUAGCUAAUGUUGCCCGUACCGUAAACCGACACAGGUGGGUGGGAUGAGUAUUCUAAGGCGCGUGGAAGAACUCUCUUUAAGGAACUCUGCAAAAUAGCACCGUAUCUUCGGUAUAAGGUGUGGUUCGCUUCGUAUUAGGAUUUACUCCGAAAGCGAAGAAACUUACAACAAAGAGUCCCUCCCGACUGUUUACCAAAAACACAGCACUCUGCUAACUCGUAAGAGGAUGUAUAGGGUGUGACGCCUGCCCGGUGCUCGAAGGUUAAUUGAUGGGGUUAGCAUUAGCGAAGCUCUUGAUCGAAGCCCGAGUAAACGGCGGCCGUAACUAUAACGGUCCUAAGGUAGCGAAAUUCCUUGUCGGUUAAAUACCGACCUGCAUGAAUGGCGUAACGAGAUGGGAGCUGUCUCAAAGAGGGAUCCAGUGAAAUUGUAGUGGAGGUGAAAAUUCCUCCUACCCGCGGCAAGACGGAGAGACCCCGUGGACCUUUACUACAGCUUGACACUGCUAUUUGGAUAAGAAUGUGCAGGAUAGGUGGGAGGCUUUGAGUAUAUGACGCCAGUUGUAUAUGAGCCAUUGUUGAGAUACCACUCUUUCUUAUUUGGGUAGCUAACCAGCUUGAGUUAUCCUCAAGUGGGACAAUGUCUGGUGGGUAGUUUGACUGGGGCGGUCGCCUCCCAAAUAAUAACGGAGGCUUACAAAGGUUGGCUCAGAACGGUUGGAAAUCGUUCGUAGAGUAUAAAGGUAUAAGCCAGCUUAACUGCAAGACAUACAAGUCAAGCAGAGACGAAAGUCGGUCUUAGUGAUCCGGUGGUUCUGUGUGGAAGGGCCAUCGCUCAAAGGAUAAAAGGUACCCCGGGGAUAACAGGCUGAUCUCCCCCAAGAGCUCACAUCGACGGGGAGGUUUGGCACCUCGAUGUCGGCUCAUCGCAUCCUGGGGCUGGAGCAGGUCCCAAGGGUAUGGCUGUUCGCCAUUUAAAGCGGUACGCGAGCUGGGUUCAGAACGUCGUGAGACAGUUCGGUCCCUAUCUGCCGUGGGCGUAAGAAGAUUGAAGAGAUUUGACCCUAGUACGAGAGGACCGGGUUGAACAAACCACUGGUGUAGCUGUUGUUCUGCCAAGAGCAUCGCAGCGUAGCUAAGUUUGGAAAGGAUAAACGCUGAAAGCAUCUAAGCGUGAAGCCAACUCUAAGAUGAAUCUUCUCUAAGCUCUCUAGAAGACUACUAGUUUGAUAGGCUGGGUGUGUAAUGGAUGAAAGUCCUUUAGCUGACCAGUACUAAUAGAGCGUUUGGCUUAUCU
rnacentral:rRNA from 1 species